rnacentral:rRNA from 1 species
AACGAACGCUGGCGGCAGGCCUAACACAUGCAAGUCGAACGCAUCGCAAGAUGAGUGGCGCACGGGUGAGUAACACGUGGGAAUGUAUCCUUUGGUUCGGAAUAACGUCUGGAAACGGACGCUAAUACCGGAUGAGCCCUUAGGGGGAAAGAUUUAUCGCCGAAGGAGCAGCCCGCGUCUGAUUAGGUAGUUGGUGGGGUAAAGGCCUACCAAGCCGACGAUCAGUAGCUGGUCUGAGAGGAUGAUCAGCCACACUGGGACUGAGACACGGCCCAGACUCCUACGGGAGGCAGCAGUGGGGAAUCUUGCGCAAUGGGCGAAAGCCUGACGCAGCCAUGCCGCGUGAAUGAUGAAGGUCUUAGGAUUGUAAAAUUCUUUUACCAGGGACGAUAAUGACGGUACCUGGAGAAAAAGCCCCGGCUAACUUCGUGCCAGCCGCCGCGGUAAUAC